rnacentral:rRNA from 1 species
CCCUACGGGGUGCAGCAGUCGCGAAAACUUGGCAAUGCGGGCAACCGCGACCAGGGGAUUCCAAGUGCAUGCACAAUGUGUAUGCUGUUCCAUUGUCUUAAAAACAUAGGAAGUAAGAGCUGGGUAAGACAGGUGCCAGCCGCCGCGGUAAUACCUGCAGCUCGAGUGGUGGCCGAUAUUAUUGAGCCUAAAGCGUCCGUAGCCGGUCUAGUAAAUUCUUGGGUAAAUUGGGUAGCUUAACUAUCCGAAUUCCGAGGAGACUGCUAGACUUGGGACUGGGAGAGGUCAGAGGUACUUCAGGGGUAGGGGCUAAAUCCUGUAAUCCUUGAAGGACCACCAGUGGCGAAGGCGUCUGACUAGAACGGAUCCGACGGUAAGGGACGAAACCCUGGGUCGCAAACCGGAUUAGAUACCCGGGUAGUCCAGGGCGUAAACGCUGCAGGCUUGGUGUUGGGGAUCCUACGAGGGUGCCCAGUGCCGGAGUGAAGAUGUUAAGCCUGCCGCUUGGGGAGUACGUCCGCAAGGAUGAAACUUAAAGGAAUUGGCGGGGGAGCAC